AGCGAACGCUGGCGGCAGGCUUAACACAUGCAAGUCGAGCGGAUGUAGCAAUACAUCAGCGGCAGACGGGUGAGUAACGCGUGGGAACGUACCUUUUGGUUCGGAACAACCCAGGGAAACUUGGGCUAAUACCGGAUAAGCCCUUACGGGGAAAGAUUUAUCGCCGAAAGAUCGGCCCGCGUCUGAUUAGCUAGUUGGUGAGGUAAAGGCUCACCAAGGCGACGAUCAGUAGCUGGUCUGAGAGGAUGAUCAGCCACAUUGGGACUGAGACACGGCCCAAACUCCUACGGGAGGCAGCAGUGGGGAUAUUGGACAAUGGGCGCAAGCCUGAUCCAGCCAUGCCGCGUGAGUGAUGAAGGCCCUAGGGUUGUAAAGCUCUUUUGUGCGGGAAGAUAAUGACGGUACGCAAGAUAAGCCCGGCUAACUUCGUGCCAGCAG
rnacentral:rRNA from 1 species